rnacentral:lncRNA from 10 species
GCAAGGCAGAGUUAGUGUUGGCUCUGUGCUCCUCUUGCCUCUGAAGAAUGUUAGGCUUGAAGAAUGCAGAGCACUGCACAUGCUAUAAUUCUGUCCUGUGACUUCUGGAUGCUUUAGUUUUCACAAGGGCACAGAGCAAUCUUAGGCAUUCUCACAAUCCUCAGAUCUGUGAGAACACCAUGAGUAAGAGACCUGGUCACCUACCUGAACCAGGUCUUAACCAGAGCCACAAGAUAGCAUCCCACACUGCAGUUCAUGGCUUUCAUAUUCAGAAAAUGUGCACUGAGGCUUCUCACCAGAGGGGCAGCCUGUGGGAAUGGCACUGCAUCAACAGAGAGCAAGAAGGGGAGACGCACCAAAGCCAGGGCGGCCCACAUGGAUGGCACUGGCUCAGGUCAUCACAGCCUCUACCCUCCCAUUGUUAACGCUGCCUGUUUAACCCAGUUAUGUGGCGUGCCCCACCUCGUCUGUAUCCAAUUGUGUUUCUAACUCCUACAGCAAACAAAAACAACAACAAAAAAACAAGCAAGCACCAAGAAGUCUUCUUCAUACGUACACAGAGGAAUCAUCUGUCUUAAAAAAAUGAUAGUGGCAAUAACUUCAUGCAAGGUUCCCCACCACCACUAUGCCCUUAAGUCUAUUAUUCAGACCCUAGUGUGAGUGAUUUCAAUCCAAUCAAAAUCCACCAGUACAGGUACCCCAGAGUGGACAUUUUGUUGAUGUGGAGGAAAGGACCACUUCGGAACAAGAGAUAGUGUGAGCAUCAUCGUAGAUGCCAACUCAGAGUGAAAAUGGCAAUUUUGGACAAAGGACUAAGGAUGGAAUAGUGGCAUUUGUGACCUGAUGAAAGAGGAGUGAAAGACAAUGCAGAAGAGGGGAUUCCACAGAGGGAGGUAUCCUGAAAGAAACAAACAAACAAAAAAAGUUUUGUUUCCUUUCUCGGUGGGAACAGCUGGUGUGUCCUGUAAAGACUCGGUGGGGCUCCUUGGUGUGAAGUUUGGAAAGUUCAUAUCUCAGCUUAUCCAGUCUCUCCCAGUCCAUUGUAGAUUCCACAUCCUUAUCCAGUCCUCACCUUGGAGGGGAGAAUGGAGUGUCAGGGAAGGGAAGGGAGGUGAGCCACUGCCCUCUUGCCUUGCAAUUCCUCUUCCCCAGCUGCUUCGGUUUAAUACCCAUGACUUUCUCCAUUUGAAUACACGUCUAUUCCUUGCAAAUCCUAAGUGUCUCCUAUAAAAUAAAACUACUUGGAGAAUUAAUACACUUGAGAAAUCAAUGCUUUUCUCUCUUCACAAAGAAAAAUACUGACAACAUCUGAAGGGAAAGAAGGGAAAGUAAGACCACGUAUGGGCAUGCAGUUUCAGAAACGGUGUCUUGGAAGAAGUCUGCUGGAAUACCUGUCAGGAAAAUUCUGCUGGCUGACACAGAGUUAAAGCUAAAAGGGAAAGGAAGUCAUGAUCUCUGAACAGUAGCCAUUCAAUUAUUUUUUAAUCACAGUAAAACAAAACAAAACAAAAAUGGCCAAUAAAAAUAAUUCAUGCCUUUAUGUUCUUACCCCCAAAAAAAACGAAUGAAUCCAUUCAUUCCUGACUCAUAUAUGUAUCACAUUGCCUAAUAACAUGUACCAGACACUGUGAUAAAGGCUUUACAUGUGCAAUCUUAUUUAUCCUCUUAAUAGUCUAAUGAGACAGGUACUGUCAUUAAUAUCUAAUUUUACAGAUGAGAGAACUGAGGUAAAGUUUAUUUAUUUGCUACACAGCUAGUCAGGGUAUUUUCAGAAUUUGAAAUCAGGCAGUUUAACUUAAGGCAUGGGCCUUCAAUUGUUCCUGUGUAUUCUUCCUUUGUAACUGCCAUCUUUCUUUGAUCCCUAAAUAUCUUUUUUUUUUUUUUUUUUUUUUUUUUUUUUUUUUUUUUUUUUGAGACAAGGUCUUGCUCUGUCACCCAGGCGCUGGAGUGCAGCGGCAAGAUCAUGGCUCACUGCAGCCUCAACCUCCCAGGCUCAGGUGAUCCUUUCACCUCAGCCUCCUGAGUAGCUGGAAAAACAGACAUGUACCACCAUGCCUGGCUAAUUUUUGUAUGUUUUGUAGAGAUGGGAGUGUCACCAUGUUGCCCAGGCUGGUCUUGAACUCCUGGGCUCAAGCAAUCCAUCCGCCUCAGCCUAAAUCUUGAUCUCUGCCAAUAGAGCCAAACGUUUUUAAAAAGGCAAAAAUCUCUCUAUAGGUAAAAGUUUUAUUUCAAUGAUAAUAUUCUCAAACAUUUCUUAAGAAAUGUCUUCAUUUUCUAAGAAAUCCAAUUACUGUCUCAUACUUCCAGGAUUCUCCAAUUUUUUUUUUCCAGGAUAUUAUAGUCCAUCAAUUUCCAUACGACUCCACACACAGUGGUGGAAACCAGGGUGGUUUGGGGACAUGAAAGAAACCUCAGCCACAAAUCAGAGUUGGUCGGAUCAGGCAGUCAGAUCUGUCUCAGCAAGUCUUUGGUUGGGAUAGUCAAAUUCCAGGCAUUUUUAUCUCUAUUUUCAAUGAAGCUUGCAUUAUUUUUGCUUCAUUUAUGCACAUCACUCAGAUGGAUCACAAAACCAUUUAAGCUCAUUCCUUUUCAAUUAGCUAUUAUUGAACUCCAGCUGACUCCAUUCAGAAAUGCUGCUUUCAGUGAGGCUGGAUUUGGGACCCGGUCCUCGGUUUUAGCCCUUGUGUAUGUCUCCCUGUGAAAAGGGAACAUCACCCCUGCUUGUGUUGAAAAGUAGCACUGCUUCUUGGAAACACAAGAUGCUGCUCCUUUUCAGGCAUUUGCAGGAAGAAAUUGCUCUCCUGCAGUAUUCAUGUAACCACUAAACCCACAGCCACAGGGUGUCCCCGGGGCUUACCUUUUCUGUUCAGUGUUUGAUGCCCUGUGGUUUUUCUCUCACAGAGACCACAGUCCAGUCAUCAUGGCACACAUCGUCUUCAACGUAUUGCUCAAAGGCCUUUCUCAGAGAGUGAGGUCUGCGAU